rnacentral:misc_RNA from 1 species
AGCAUUCCCAAAAGUCGUUGCUGUCUGUGAUCAUGCCAGGCAAGUCUUUAGUCCUCACCACAUAAGAUGAGGUUACAGAAGAUGAACUUUGAAAGUGGAUAAUAGGUCAUUUAUCAAUUCAUCAUUAAGCAAUAUUAUGCAGAAAGCAUUUUAAACAAGAAGCUGAUACACUACUAAUAAAACAAGAAAGAAAAAGCAUAAGCAUUUAGUGCUCUUAAUAAGUACAACAAAAUUAACAAUUAGUACUGUAAAUUUUGCAAUAAAGAGUUUUUAAUGUUAUAUCAAUGUGAAUUAAGGUCUAGAUAGAAGUGAAGAAAAACAUCCUAGUAAUGACUGACAACCAAUUAUAAUAUGGUGCUUUAACACAGCAUGAAGUGCAUAAUGCUUAGCAAACAAACCUCUAGAGAUUGCUUUGGCAUCCAAACUAAGGGUCAUAACAAGUGCAAUCUAAUUCUAAUUAUUAAGAGCAUCUCAUGACAUGAGCCACAAGUGAUUACAUAAACAGUCAGAAGAAAAAUUUAGAUCAUUAACAACAAAAAGAUUUACAUAGCAUUGAUUACAAUUUUCAUCUCAAUAGAACUCCUGAAAUUCUAGGAAUACAGGAAAAUUUUAUAUUUCUUCCGAAAAAUUUGAAAACUUCCACAAAAUGGCAUCAUGUCAUAUUUAAGUUAAAACAUCUUAACAAAAAGUGUUGUAGCUCAAAUAGAAUGCCAUAGAUAAGUACUAGAUCCACAAAAAUAAAAUAGGAAUGUACUUACACUAAAGAAGUUCACAAAGGCCAGAUCAUCUGGCAGAUCAGUGACAU